GUAUGGUGCAAGCGUUAUCCGGAUUUACUGGGUGUAAAGGGAGCGUAGACGGCUGUGUAAGUCUGAAGUGAAAACCCGGGGCUCAACCCCGGGACUGCUUUGGAAACUAUGCAGCUAGAGUGUCGGAGAGGCAAGUGGAAUUCCCAGUGUAGCGGUGAAAUGCGUAGAUAUUGGGAGGAACACCAGUGGCGAAGGCGGCUUGCUGGACGAUGACUGACGUUGAGGCUCGAAAGCGUGGGGAGCAAACAGGAUUAGAUACCCUGGUAGUCCACGCCGUAAACGAUGACUACUAGGUGUCGGGGCCGUAGAGGCUUCGGUGCCGCAGCCAACGCAGUAAGUAUUCCACCUGGGGAGUACGUUCGCAAGAAUGAAACU
rnacentral:rRNA from 1 species